GGAGGGGUGCCGGAGUGGUUUAACGGGCACGCCUGGAGAGCGUGUGUACGCCAAAAGCGUACCGGGGGUUCGAAUCCCUCUCCCUCCGCCA
rnacentral:tRNA from 1 species